ACACAUCCGGGAUUACGAGCUUUGCCUCACAAAAAAAAUACAAACCGCGCGAAAAUUCAAAUUUUUGCUCUUUUGACAGCGCUGAGAAACCUUCGAAUAGUGACGAGAAGACCAGACGUAUCCCUUCGUGACAAGCUGCUACUUGUUCUUUUCAGCUCGAGCCUUUUUUGGGAGCUACUCUGGUACAUCGUCCACACUGCUGCCAAGUCUCGACUUCCCAAAAUGGAUGGAAGUGACGAAUAUGGAGGACGCUAUCCUAGAACCCGUGGACAGAAGAGGAAGAGCGACGACUUGGGUGCGGCAGCGAAGUCUGCCUGCCCAACGCCAAUUGCUCCUCACCCAAAAACGCACCCCAUUGACGAAGAUCAUCCUUGUAUAGACGAUGAUAAAUACUCUCAUCUGACAAGAACACGUCAUCAGAAGUCACUGCCUGCUGCGAAUAACAGCGCAUCGUGUAUGAGAAUCUCUUCACCAACAAGUAUACACAAAUAUACACCCACACACCUACACACACCCUCGUGUACUUGUACACCACACACGCGCGCGCACGUGCGCAUACAUACAACUAUUCAUCUUUAUCCUUUUGUGUUUGACAUGAUUCCACGGUGCCAUGAAAGUAACAUCUUUACUUAUAAAGAAGAGGCACCUGUGACGUGUGUGUGUGUGUGUGUGUGUGUGUGUGUGUGUGUGUGUGUGUGUGUGUUACGCUCAGGCCAUCCUGCGGAGCAGCGCUGCCCUGAGCACGCGAAGCGUGCGAACAGUGUAGCUAGCGGCCGCAGAAGCACUGAGCACGCGAAGCGUGCGAAUCGUGUAGCUAGCGGAAGCAGCCACAGAAGCACUGAGCACGCCAAGCGUGCGAAUC